rnacentral:tRNA from 1 species
GGAGGCGUCGCAUAGCGGUCUAGUGCGCACGCUUGGAAAGCGUGUGAGGGGCAACCCUCCGAGCGUUCGAAUCGCUCCGCCUCCGCCA